CAUUGUGUAUAUUAACCACAGUUUCUUUAUCCAUUCGUCUAUUGAAGGGCAUCUAAGUUGGUUCCACAGUUUAGGUAUUGUGGAUUCAGCUGCUAUAAACAUUGGUGUGGCUGUGUCACUAUAGUAUGCUGAUUUUAAGUCCUUUGGGAGGAGUGGGAUAGCUGGGUCAGAUGGUGGUUCCAUUCCAAGUUUUCUGAGGAAUCUCCACACUGCUUUCCAAAGUGGUUGCACCAAUUUGCAGUCCCACCAGCAAUGUAUGAGUGUACCUUUUCCCCACAUCCUCUCCAACGCUGAUUAUUGCUUCCAUUCUUGAUAAUUGCCAUUCUGGC
rnacentral:lncRNA from 1 species